AUCCUUCCAAUUGAUGAGGUGUAACAACCUCAUCAACAAGAAGGGAUUCCUUCUGGUCGAUGGUGUUGUUGUUUCUCAUUGACUGGAAGGAU
rnacentral:miRNA from 1 species